GGAUAUGAGGAUGAUCUGACUGUGACAUCUGUCACGUUAGCGACUGCCAGGGUUGGUUUGGCCGAUGCGGCUGGCUAGGCAGCUGUCCCCUUUUCCUUUCUCGCUACUCCCCGUGACUCCUGUUCUCUCUAUUCUGUAUCACGCCAUGUGUUUUUAAAAUUAAAUUUUCUUUCUUCAAAUUUAUUUGAUUUAAAAAAUACUUUAAAUGUGUGGAAAGAUUGGCUCCAGCUAAUUAACAUAUGCAUAACUUCCUUAUCCUUUAUGUGAUGGGAACAGGUAAUAUCU
rnacentral:snRNA from 1 species